UAGUCCACGCCCUAAACGAUGUUGGCUCGGUAUCUGCAUUUAUGUGGGUGCCCAAGGGAAACCGAUAAGCCAACCACCUGGGGAGUACGUCGGCAACGAUGAAACUCAAAGGAAUUGACGGGGUCCGCACAAGCGGUGGAGCAUGUGGUUUAAUUCGAUGAUACGCGAGGAACCUUACCAGGGCUUAAAUGUAGAAUGACAGUUGUGGAAACACAUCCUUCUUCGGACAUUCUACAAGGUGCUGCAUGGUUGUCGUCAGCUCGUGCCGUGAGGUGUCGGGUUAAGUCCCAUAACGAGCGCAACCCCUAUCUUUAGUUGCCAGCGGAUAAUGCCGGGGACUCUAAGAAACUGCCCGUGUAAACGGAGAGGAAGUGGGGAUGACGUCAAAUCAUCACGGGCCCUUACGUCCUGGGGCUACACACGUGCUACAAUGGGCAGGGGACAGGUUAGUCGCAAACCCGCGAGGGGUGAGCUAAUCUAUAAACCUUGUCUCAGUUCGGGAUCGGGAGUCU
rnacentral:rRNA from 1 species